CACGUAGGGCGCAAGCGUUGUCCGGAAUUAUUGGGCGUAAAGAGCUCGUAGGCGGUCUGUUGCGUCCGCUGUGAAAACUCGGGGCUUAACCCCGAGCCUGCAGUGGAUACGGGCAGACUAGAGGUAGGUAGGGGAGAAUGGAAUUCCCGGUGUAGCGGUGAAAUGCGCAGAUAUCGGGAGGAACACCGGUGGCGAAGGCGGUUCUCUGGGCCUUACCUGACGCUGAGGAGCGAAAACGUGGGGAGCGAACAGG
rnacentral:rRNA from 1 species